GACGAACGCUGGCGGCGUGCCUAAUACAUGCAAGUAGAACGCACAGUUUAUACCGUAGCUUGCUACACCAUAGACUGUGAGUUGCGAACGGGUGAGUAACGCGUAGGUAACCUGCCUGGUAGCGGGGGAUAACUAUUGGAAACGAUAGCUAAUACCGCAUAAUAUUGAUUAUUGCAUGAUAAUUAAUUGAAAGGUGCAAUUGCACCACUACCAGAUGGACCUGCGUUGUAUUAGCUAGUAGGUGAGGUAACGGCUCACCUAGGCGACGAUACAUAGCCGACCUGAGAGGGUGAUCGGCCACACUGGGACUGAGACACGGCCCAGACUCCUACGGGAGGCAGCAGUAGGGAAUCUUCGGCAAUGGACGAAAGUCUGACCGAGCAACGCCGCGUGAGUGAAGAAGGUUUUCGGAUCGUAAAGCUCUGUUGUAAGAGAAGAACGGGUGUGAGAGUGGAAAGUUCACACUGUGACGGUAUCUACCAGAAAGGGACGGCUAACUACGUG
rnacentral:rRNA from 1 species